UGCCUGCAUUAAGCGUAAAGGACACCUUAUACCCUAUUGAUGAGUGCUUAACAGCAUCUCCAAUGUUGCUGUUUAAAGUUUGAUUUUAGAACUCAUAUCUUAACUGAUUUUAAGUUAUAUUUUUGCAUUAAAUGCUUUGUAUUGUAACUAAUAAGAGACUUUAUUGUUGCGACUGCCUGCCGUGAGACUUUACUUGUAACUACAAACUGAGCCUCAAACAAGAACAACCACAAGGGAGUCUUCUACGUCAUUCCUGAAGAACUUCAACCUGCGGACGGCCAUCCCAUAAAACGAGAAGAAGAAAACGAAGAUACCAAACUUUGAGUUCAUAUUACUUCACUGUUCCGACCAGGACACUUGACAUUGAGCAAAAACAGAAGUUAUUUUACAAAAAUCAGCAAACUGCAACAAAGCGAAAAGGUACGCACUAUCUACUCAUCUCCAAUCAACAUGUGAGCAGAAUAGGAUUGGAGAGAUGGAACAGGAGAAAAAGACAAGAGCUUUAAGGGGGAGUUGUAACAUUGCCA
rnacentral:lncRNA from 1 species